rnacentral:rRNA from 1 species
GUCGAACGGACUCAUACUGAAACCUAGUGAUUUAUGAGUUAGUGGCGGACGGGUGAGUAACGCGUGGAUAACCUGCCGUAUACCGGGGGAUAACACUUAGAAAUAGGUGCUAAUACCGCAUGAGCGCACAGCUCCGCAUGGGGCGGUGUGAAAAACUCCGGUGGUAUACGAUGGAUCCGCGUCUGAUUAGCCAGUUGGCGGGGUAACGGCCCACCAAAGCGACGAUCAGUAGCCGGCCUGAGAGGGUGAACGGCCACAUUGGGACUGAGACACGGCCCAGACUCCUACGGGAGGCAGCAGUGGGGAAUAUUGCACAAUGGGGGAAACCCUGAUGCAGCGACGCCGCGUGAGUGAAGAAGUAUCUCGGUAUGUAAAGCUCUAUCAGCAGGAAAGAUAAUGACGGUACCUGACUAAGAAGCCCCGGCUAACUACGUGCCAGCAGCCGCGGUAAUACGUAGGGGGCAAGCGUUAUCCGGAUUUACUGGGUGUAAAGGGAGCGUAGACGGCAGCGCAAGUCUGGAGUGAAAUGCCGGGGCCCAACCCCGGAACUGCUUUGGAAACUGUGCGGCUCGAGUGCGGGAGAGGUAGGCGGAAUUCCUAGUGUAGCGGUGAAAUGCGUAGAUAUUAGGAGGAACACCAGUGGCGAAGGCGGCUUACUGGACCGUAACUGACGUUGAGGCUCGAAAGCGUGGGG